AAGAUAAUCGCGGCAGCCUCUGGCUGAUGAGGAAAGUCCGAGCUCCGCAGGGCAGGAUGCUGGAUAACGUCCAGUGGGGGUGACCCUAAGGAAAGUGCCACAGAAAACAAACCGCCGGCUUUGCCGGUAAGGAUGAAACGGUGCGGUAAGAGCGCACCAGCGGCCAAGUGAUUGGUCGGCUUGGUAAACCCCAUCCGGAGUAAGACCAAAUAGGGAAGGGAUGAAGCGGCCCGCUGAUCCUUCCGGGUAGCGUCGCUUGAGCCUGUCGGCAACGGCAGGACUAGAUAAAUGAUUAUCACUAACAGAACUCGGCUUACCGGGC
rnacentral:RNase_P_RNA from 1 species